rnacentral:rRNA from 1 species
UAGGGAAUCUUCGGCAAUGGGGGGAACCCUGACCGAGCAACGCCGCGUGAGUGAAGAAGGUUUUCGGAUCGUAAAGCUCUGUUGUUAAGGAAGAACGAGUGUGAGAAUGGAAAGUUCAUACUGUGACGGUACUUAACCAGAAAGGGACGGCUAACUACGUGCCAGCAGCCGCGGUAAUACGUAGGUCCCGAGCGUUGUCCGGAUUUAUUGGGCGUAAAGCGAGCGCAGGCGGUUAGAAAAGUCUGAAGUGAAAGGCAGUGGCUCAACCAUUGUAGGCUUUGGAAACUGUUUAACUUGAGUGCAGAAGGGGAGAGUGGAAUUCCAUGUGUAGCGGUGAAAUGCGUAGAUAUAUGGAGGAACACCGGUGGCGAAAGCGGCUCUCUGGUCUGUAACUGACGCGGAGGUUCGAAAGCGUGGGUAGCAAACAGG